CUAUACAUGGGACGCGAUGAUCUGCCGCCUGUAAUCUGGUCACCUCGGCGGCGAGGAGCAAAUGGUGAAACCGGCCCCGAAAG
rnacentral:ncRNA from 1 species